rnacentral:rRNA from 1 species
AGGAUUAACGCUGGCGGCGUGCCUAACACAUGCAAGUCGAACGAGGUAGCAAUACCUAGUGGCAGACGGGUGAGUAACGCGUGGUCAACCUACCGUUGAGUGGGGGAUAACUAGCCGAAAGGUUAGCUAAUACCGCAUACGAGUCUCGGGGGCAUCCCUGGGCCUUAAAAGGAGCAAUCCGCUCGAUGACGGGACCGCGUCCCAUUAGCUAGAUGGUGGGGUAACGGCCUACCAUGGCACCGAUGGGUAGCUGGUUUGAGAGAGCGACCAGCCACACUGGGACUGAGAAACGGCCCAGACUCCUACGGGAGGCAGCAGUGAGGAAUUUUCCGCAAUGGGCGAAAGCCUGACGGAGCGACGCCGCGUGUGGGAAGAAGGCCUUCGGGUCGUAAACCACUGUCGAAGGGGACGAUAAUGACGGUACCUUGGAGGAAGCCCGGCUAACUACGUGCCAGCAGCCGC